AGCAAAGAAGGUACCUGGCCGGAGUAACCGACGGUGUAAAAUGCUAGUUGCUCAUGACGCAGGUCUGCAAGCAUAG